rnacentral:rRNA from 1 species
GACGAACGCUGGCGGCGUGCUUAACACAUGCAAGUCGAACGGAAAGGCCCUGCUUUUGUGGGGUGCUCGAGUGGCGAACGGGUGAGUAACACGUGAGUAACCUGCCCUUGACUUUGGGAUAACUUCAGGAAACUGGGGCUAAUACCGGAUAGGAGCUCCUGCUGCAUGGUGGGGGUUGGAAAGUUUCGGCGGUUGGGGAUGGACUCGCGGCUUAUCAGCUUGUUGGUGGGGUAGUGGCUUACCAAGGCUUUGACGGGUAGCCGGCCUGAGAGGGUGACCGGCCACAUUGGGACUGAGAGACGGCCCAGACUCCUACGGGAGGCAGCAGUGGGGAAUAUUGCACAAGGGGCGGAAGCCUGAUGCAGCAACGCCGCGUGGGGGAUGACGGCCUUCGGGUUGUAAACCGCUUUCGCCUGUGACGAAGCGUGAGUGACGGUAAUGGGUAAAGAAGCACCGGCUAACUACGUG